ensembl:lincRNA
CUCAUUUUGAGCUUCUGCCCUCUUUCUGCGGGUGAUGAAGGCCUUUAUUGUCCUGAUCCUACAGUUUCUGUCCCAUGACAAGGACCAGCUGAUCAAGGAGCUGCAGCAGCAUGUAACGUGAGUGACAGCCCCAUCCAAGUACCUGAGGAAGCAUCGUUUCAGGAUGAGUAUUUCAUGUCAAGUGGAUUCAAGGAACAGUGUGAAGGAUCCAUGGCCUCAGUCACCGUGAAGACCCUCCCAAGAGUCAGCCCUACUGGGCAGGUGUAAAUGAGUGGAGACAUGGAACUCACCCUUACAAGGCCUAAACCUGACAGAGCACACAAGACAGAAGCCCAGAUAACCAGGAGCAGGAAGCUGAAGCUCCUGUUGACCACCCAGAGGAGUUUACCCUUGGCAGUGAGGAGGAGGAGGUGGCCUCUGACAUGAACACCGCUGCAGCCCCAAGUGACCACCCUCCUCCUGAGGAUUCCAGGAGCACCACCUCUGAGGAUGAUGACGAGAGUUCAUCACUCCGUGGUUAUGUGUCUUCAGAUGACCAGGCGAGCACGGUCGGACUCAGAUCCUGGGAAGAGGAAGAAGACCUGGAGGAGCAAAGCUUCUACAAACUAUCCCAGGAGAGAGUGAGAAGCUGGCUUCUGGGGAGCGACUUCAGGCUCACUGAAGACGACCCCCAAGGUAGGGAACUACUUUCCAGGUAGGACCUGAUGGGAAAGGGUUCCUGAGAGCCUUCAGGUUAUCCCUGCUGCUUGAGGGGCUGAAGAAGGGGGUAUGAAAUCAGAAAGAAAAUGAAAACGUGUGUGAGGUUGGGUUUGUUCUUUUCAAAGUUUGUUGUCAUAAAGGUAGGAACUGUCUCUGGGCUGUGAGGGUGCUGUGUUCAUUAGAGAUGAUGUUUGCAGUACACCUGCUCUUUUCUGCCCAGGGAAACAUCAAAACCUUUGCUUUGGAUUAAUCAGCACUCCUUGGGAUUAUGCACAAGGGAUGCGGGGCUGGGCAUUGAGUGUCACCUGUAAAGGAAGGAAGGAAUCUGUGGGAACAUCUCUCUCACAGGCAUUUACUUGAACUUAAGAGAAAAGUUCUGCUCUGUGCCAAGGGGAAAUUGAUAAUCACCCUCUAAACUUUUAAGACUUGUUACAGCACAUUUAUGUUUCUGUCCUCUCUGUGGGUUUAAAGGGGUCUCCCAGGGGUGGGUGGCAGAGUGAAUGUUCACUCUGGGCCCGCUGGCACAUCUCCAGUCUCCUGGGAAGGCGGGAGAAGUCUGACCUUGAUGACAUUUGUAGCCUCCACUUCCCACCCCUACCACGGAUUCUGAGAUGAGGCUUCUUUCUCUCCAGUUCUCUCAUUUUUGGGGAAACCAAGAGUUCCUUCCCACAGAAGAUGGCAUUCCACUGUUUGCUGUCUUCAAAAAUCAGGCUUCCAUUGUUCUCUAAGUUGAUAUUUACAAGUUAAGUUCUGGACCUUUUAUUCACAGAUUGCUAAAAGUUGUGCAGGAAACUCCUAUGAUAAAAUGUGCUGAUAGCACGUAAUUCUGUCCAUGCUAUGGAUGACAUUUUUCUCUUUGGAGGAUCCUCAUUUUACAUAAUAAGAUACAAAACUAAGUGGGCACCCUCUAUCCAGUCUGGGGCACUUCAUUAAAGACCUGAGUUUGCUGCUGUCUGUCAUAUGCUUUUCUUUAUGUCACCUUUGAACCACCUAAAUAUUGCCAGCACCCUCUUUUGGGACCGUGACGUCUGAGAGGGUGAGAUGGCACAAGUGCAGACAUCCCUGUCCCUCCCUGAAAUCUCCCUCCUCCUUUAAUCUUCUCCCUUAAGGGACCUGCUCUGACUGCUAAUGCCUUGUUCAGACCUCUCCAGGUCUGGACCGUUAUACAUAGAAUGAGUCAGUAUGUGUUUCUCGGUGUCUGGCUUUUUGGCUCCCAUUGUGAUUUGAAAUUCAUUCAUGUUCGUAAGUGUAACUGUAGUUCUUCCAUUUCCUUGUUGCACACCAUUCCACCGUAGUCACGUAGUACAGUUUAUCCACUCUACUGUUGAUCGACAUCGAAUUUUCUUUCCCUG